GUGCUCGCUUCGGCAGCACAAAUACUAAAAUUGGAAUGAUACAGAGAAGAUUAGCAUGGCCCCUGGGCAAGGAUGACAUGCAAAUUUGUGAAACUGUCCAUAUUUUU
rnacentral:snRNA from 1 species